AAGCUUUCUUCGGAAAGUGGAUUAGCGGCGGACGGGUGAGUAACACGUGGGUAACCUGCCUCAUAGAGGGGAAUAGCCUUUCGAAAGGAAGAUUAAUACCGCAUAAGAUUGUAAUAUCGCAUGGUAUAGCAAUUAAAGGAGCAAUCCGCUAUGAGAUGGACCCGCGUCGCAUUAGCUAGUUGGUGAGGUAACGGCUCACCAAGGCGACGAUGCGUAGCCGACCUGAGAGGGUGAUCGGCCACAUUGGGACUGAGACACGGCCCAAACUCC
rnacentral:rRNA from 1 species